CAAAUUAAAUGAUGACAGAUGAUUUAGAGACACUUUUACCCUACAAAAAACCAAAAAACAAAAAAACCCACCCCCAAAGUUCAUUUAUACUGGACAAUUUUGGAGAACUACAAAGUUUUUUUAAAAAUUUAUUUUAACUGAAGGGUAAUUGCUUUACAGUAUUGUGUUGGUUUCUACCAAACAUCAACGUGAAUCUCCAAAGGUCAACUUGAAUGCUGAUGGGUUUACCUACGUCCCCUCCCACCUCCCUCCCCAUCCCACCCCUCUAGGUUCUUAAGUUUUCGUUCCCUGAGUCAUACAGCAAAUUCCCAUUGGCUAUCUAGUUUACAUAUGGCAGUGAUGUUUUCAUAUUACUCUCUCCAUAUGCACCCCCCACUUCCUCCCCACAAAGCUGUGUUAGUAAGUCUCUUAGAGAACUACAAAGUUUUUAUACUUGCUGCACAUUGGAAAGAAAAUGUCAACAACUAGUUUCUUUUGUACCAUAUCUAUACACAGGAAAAAAAAAAAACUUGUUAAAAGGAAAAGAGGUUUCUGUAUUGUUAAUAUUUGACAGUUAAAGGGUUCCUUUUAAAUAUUUAACUUAAGGUUAAAUAUCCAUCUCUUACAGUUAUUAGACACAUCUUCAUAUCAAGGGUAAUAUACAAAGCACAGCAAUGUAACUCAAGUAUACUUCUUUAAAAACUUGGAAAAAUAUACUAAGAAUAUAUGAUUUAUAAUUUAAAAAAUUUAGAAAAGUGUGGGUAAACAAAGCUGAUGCAGUCAUUUGAAGGGUCCAGAUGAAACACCAUGGACUCAACAAUCUGUUCUUGCAGGGAGUAAAAUGCGCUGUGGCUGGUGCUGUCCGCUCUGCAGGCGAGCUGAGCCGGAGCACGCUGAGGAUGCUGCUGGCGGCUGAGAUGCGGUAUGUGAUCCAGAGAACCGUCAGGGCUUCUCCACCUCACUCGUGCUCUCUCAGCCUCCUUCCCUUUUUCCCUCCUGCUUCCCUGGCCGCCUCCCAUCUUCCCCGGCCGCCUCCCAUCUUCCCCUUCCCCCCCACUUGCCCUCCCCCCCACCUGCCC
rnacentral:lncRNA from 1 species